rnacentral:lncRNA from 1 species
CCCAGGGCCAGGCCAGCAGCAGCGCUUCCCAAACCAUCAUCAGGCAUUUUUAAGGAUGAACAACAGCUCCCCAGGAGGUGUAGUGCAAAUCCAGCCCUUUAAACUCAUUUACUUUAAUUGCGUAACAUUUUAAAUACUGCACGCCAGUGAGAGGCAGGUGGAUCAGCAGGUGCAACGUGGCGAUCUGCCAAUAAUGGCAUCAGAAAAACAGUCCCUCACAGAGGCAAGAAGCAAAAGAGACUGCGUGAAAAACUCCUCUGAGCUUGAUGUCUGUUUCAUACGGCUUCCUUUUUGCAGAAGUGCUACUCUGUUGAAGUUUAUACAGAAUUGUCAGUUAAUGAAGUGUCGUCACAGACCACACUCUCAGCAGCAGCUCAAAACAGUUCAGGAUAACACAGAAGAAGGGAAAAUAGAAGGCAACGUUGCUAAAAUUUGUUUAAGAUCUAGUAUUUCCUAGGCCCUGUGGUUUAUCUGUUUCAUCUACAUAUUCUGAAGAUCGAUGUUAUUCUUUCUACUUUACAUUUGUCUUAACUGAAGCUAAGAAGUGUUAGCCCCAACCACACUAUUGGAUGGCACAGAACAAUUUCAAAUGGUUUUAUCUUUAUGCCACAGUGAACUAUUUGCUUGGCACAUAUGUUUGCAAAAUAUAUCAGCAAUUGAAUUUAGGGAUUAUGUGAUAGGAAAUGAGAGUUUUCCUUCAUAUUUAUUUGACUACCAAGGUGAUGGCAGUAAUGGACGCACCAAGAAGAAAGGGUUCUGUUGAAAACUAUAAACAGUCAUAUUCAGAGUCCUGCUUACAAGUAGGAUAUAAAGAGGGUUUAGGUGGCUGUACCUUCUCUAAUUUCUGCCUUUUAUUUCUACACUUUCUGUUAAUAAAAGUACUUAGCCCAACUGGUAAGUCAGGAAACGCUUCCAUCUAAAAACACUUGUCCCCUAAUAUUG